rnacentral:lncRNA from 1 species
UAUAUGCCAAUUAAAAUCGUUAAUGAAACCGGUCUCAAGUUUGGUUUAUAUAGAAAAACAAAUUCUUGAUGCAGAUUAAUCGAUUACGUAAUCAACAAGUCGAGCUUUGUAAUUUUCUUUUAAAUGCAUAGAUGUUCGACCUAAUGAAAGAUUAUAGCAAGAAUUUCUUUUGUCAUGCUAUUCAAAAUGUACACUGUAAAGUUUGUAAGAACUUCCUUUGUUGAAGAGUAAUCGUUUAGCUUGGAAGGUUCUUGUAUUUGGAAAAAAAAANUCAAUUGUUAUCCUCACCACCCUCAAAUCAAAUUACAAUACAAAUAAGAGAGGAAAGCACUCACUCCCACCCAAUACAAGAGAUGGACACCCUCAAUCUUUAAGCUNGCCUACUCACACAUGUUCUANAUAAUGUAGAAAGAAUGAUACACUCAACAGAACACACUCUUCUAGUGUAGAUAUAUUAGCAACAACGAAGUCCACUUGAUCUUGAAUAAAUCUUUGAAUGUUUGAUCACCAAUGAAGUGUGAAAAUCCUUCAAGAACUGUUCCUGAGAGACCCUGUACUCAAAACACAAAAAACAAUGUCAGUAUAUGCCAAUUAAAAUCGUUAAUGAAACCGGUCUCAAGUUUGGUUUAUAUAGAAAAACAAAUUCUUGACGCAGAUUAAUCGAUUACGUAAUCAACAAGUCGAGCUUUGUAAUUUUCUUUUAAAUGCAUAGAUGUUCGACCUAAUGAAAGAUUAUAACAAGAAUUUCUUUUGUCAUGCUAUUCAGAAUGUACACUGUAAAGUUUGUAAGAACUUCCUUUGUUGAAGAGUAAUCGUUUAGCUUGGAAGGUUCUUGUAUUUGGAAAAAAAAACACAAUUGUAGGUUUUGUAAGAGAAGUGUUUAGACAAAAGAAGAGACAAAUGCACAAAUAUUUUAUACUAGUUCACUCCAACUGAGCUAUUCAAUCUCCUCCGUAGAGUGUUCCACUAUAAUCUUCAACAAGAUUACAAUUGAGUAUUUGCACCACUCCUGAUAUUCUCAGUCUACGAAUAACCACNUGUUACCAUAGACUGGAUGANUUUUCUCACACUCUUGGUCUACAGUUAGCGAAUAACCACGUGUUACCCUAGAAUAGAUUAGUAUUUGCACCACUCUUGGUACUAAGCAACAUUUCCUAGGUUUCCUUAACUCAAUUGAGUUCAACAAGUGUUUUACUUCUCUUCANAAUUGCAAUCAAAGAUUGCUUACAAGUCGUUUAGACUAUUACUCUCACAAAGAGGAUUUGAUUACAAUACAACAGACUAUACACUCGCAUGUGUUUCUCUCUUUUCUCUUUCUCUCUUUCUUAAAAUCAGUAAACAAUAUAACAAUGAAACUCGAGAGUAUUUCUUUUCUUCUUUUCUCUUCUUCACUUUUUUUUCUCAAAUAUUUUCUUUUUCUUGGGCUCUUUUUAUGCUUUUCUUUUGAACACUUCUCAAAGGAUGAAUAUUUCGUUGUAUGUUAUCC